rnacentral:rRNA from 1 species
CACGUAGGGCGCAAGCGUUGUCCGGAAUUAUUGGGCGUAAAGAGCUCGUAGGCGGUCUGUUGCGUCCGCUGUGAAAACUCGGGGCUUAACCCCGAGCCUGCAGUGGAUACGGGCAGACUAGAGGUAGGUAGGGGAGAAUGGAAUUCCCGGUGUAGCGGUGAAAUGCGUAGAUAUCUGGAGGAACACCGGUGGCGAAGGCGGCGUCCUGGACCAACACUGACACUGAUGAGCGAAAGCCAGGAGAGCAAACGGG